AUGCUCGAUACUUCUUGUGCUGGUUCCUUUAUGAAGAAGACUAUUGAAUUCCGGUGGGAUCUUUUAGAAAGAAUUAAACGCAGCUCUGAAGAUUGGGAACUCGACGAAGGUAAAGAGUCAGGUAUUAAGCUUAAGUUUGAUUGUGUUAAAUCUUUUAUGAAUACCGAUGCUUUUCAAAAGUUUAGCACUAAAUAUGGACUUGACUCUGAGAUAGUAGCCUCCUUUUGUGAAUCUUUUGCUACUCAUGUUGAUCUCCGUAAAGAGAAGUGGUUUAAAUAUCACCCACCUUUUAAAGAAGAAAUUAAAGAACCAGUAAUAGCUAAAGAUGAAACUAUUAUUUAUAAUGUUGAUCCAGUUGUUCCUACUGCCUAUAUUUAA
rnacentral:rRNA from 1 species